rnacentral:rRNA from 1 species
GAUAAACGCUGGCGGCGUGCCUAAAACAUGCAAGUCGAACGGCUCACUUCGGUGGGUAGUGGCGAACAGCUGAGUAACACGUGGGUGACCUGCCUUCGAACGGGGGACAACUGCCCGAAAGCCAGGCUAAUACACCAGAUGUCGGGGCUUCGGUGGACGGACUAAACCGUUUAGGGGUCGGAGAGCGGCCCGCGUUAGAUUAGCGAGUUGGUGAGGCAAAAGCUCACCAAGGCAACGAUCUAUAGCUGGUCUGCGAGGAUGAUCAGCCACACUGGGAGUGGGACACGGCCCAGACUCCUACGUGAGGCAGCAGUGGGGAAUCUUGCGCAAUGGGCGAAAGCCUGACGCAGCCAUGCCGCGUGAAUGAUGAAGGUCUUAGGAUUGUAAAAUUCUUUUACCAGGGGCGAUAAUGACGGUACCUGGAGAAAAAGCCCCGGCUAACUUCGUGCCAGCCGCCGCAGUAAUAC